rnacentral:lncRNA from 1 species
UAAAGGCGUGAUGAGAGGGUUGAAACUUUCAAUCUUACCCCACUGACCUCUGGAAGGGGAGAGGGACUGAUGGUUGCCAAGUCAAAUGGCCUAAUCAAUCAGACCAACAUAAAGGAACUCCCACAAAAACCCCUAAACCGCAGGGUUCCAGAGCUUUCCAGUUGGCAAACACACUGGUGUGCCGGGAGGUGGCCCCCCUCGGUGCCAUGGGAGCAGAAUCUCCCGCACAUCAGAAAAGUGUGUGCCACAGCAGGGAAGUGUGAACUCUCCCUUGGCAGGCUGCCACGGAGCACCCACGGGGCUGGAGCCUGGCAGGGAAGAGUGUUGGUGAAGAGUCGGACUCUGCCGGCCCCACUGGUCUCUGAGCACCUGGUGCACUCCGGGCACCCGCGGGCAUCUGCCUGGCCAGAGGGCAGCUCCACAGCCAAUGCUUCUCUAAGCAACCUGUGGUCCCUGAGUCCAGACCUGGUGCCCACGGGUGAAGAGAGCAUGACAGGUUCCUGCUGAUGUGAAGGCUGACUGCUGCCCUCCCAGACGUCCCCUCAAAUGCCGUACCACACCGCCCCAGGGAGGCCAGGCCCAAGUGCCCAGGAGCUACCGACAGCCAGGUCCACAUGGAUCCCAGCUCGCUUUCCUCCUCGUCCUGAGCUACCUAAGCCCAGGUUAGGCUGAG